rnacentral:rRNA from 1 species
GCGGCGUGCUAACACAUGCAAGUCGUACGAGAAAAUCUCUCGCUUGCGAGAGAGAGUAAAGUGGCGCACGGGUGAGUAACGCGUGGGUAACCCACCUCCGCAGUCUGGGAUAACUCCGCGAAAGCGGGGCUAAUACCGGAUAAGACCACAUUCCGUUUGCGGAAAGAGGUAAAAGCUGACCUCUCCAUGGAAGUUAGCGUUCGGAGACGGGCCCGCGGCCUAUCAGCUUGUUGGUAGGGUAACGGCCUACCAAGGCUACGACGGGUAGCUGGUCUGAGAGGAUGAUCAGCCACACUGGAACUGGAACACGGUCCAGACUCCUACGGGAGGCAGCAGUGAGGAAUUUUGCGCAAUGGGCGAAAGCCUGACGCAGCAACGCCGCGUGGGUGAAGAAGGCUUUCGGGUCGUAAAGCCCUGUCAGGUGGGAAGAAACCUUCCGGUACUAAUAAUGCCAGAAGCUGACGGUACCACCAGAGGAAGCACCGGCCAACUCCGUGCCAGCAGCCGCGGUAAUACGGAGGGUGCAAGCGUUGUUCGGAAUC